GUCUAUGGCAAUAUCACCCUGAAUGUGCCCGAUCUCGUCUGAUCUCGGAAGCUAAGCAGGGUCGGGCCUGUUUAGUACUUGGAUGUAAGAAUAGAGAAGCUCAGGUUUGAACU
rnacentral:rRNA from 1 species